UGCUAAAUAAUGCAUAAAUUAAUAUCUUAUUCAUAGCACUUAUCAUUAUUUUAAUUUACAUAUUUUAUAAAUUCAACUAAAAAAUGUAUUACCUUCACCAGUGCAUUUUAAUGAAUUUUCCAAGGUAAUUCAAGUUUGAUUUGAUUAUUUAUUGAUUAAGUUUAAUGCAUGCAGGUCAAGUCAAACUCAAUUGGGUAAAGCCUAAAUGGACACUACAUCAUUUCACAAUUUUAUAUUUUCCAGAGUCGACUCCAAGAAUUCUUUUCCAAAAUUCAGUGCUUUUCAAGUUCACCUAAAUUUCUUCCCACUCGUUCCAACUCUUUUUCCACACAACCCAAUUUUCCUAUUUUAAUCUCAAAAA
rnacentral:lncRNA from 1 species